rnacentral:rRNA from 1 species
CCUACGGGCGGCGGCAGUGAGGAAUAUUGGUCAAUGGGCGUGAGCCUGAACCAGCCAAGUAGCGUGAAGGAUGACUGCCCUACGGGUUGUAAACUUCUUUUAUAAAGGAAUAAAGUGAGGCACGUGUGCCGUUUUGUAGGUACCGUAUGAAUAAGGAUCGGCUAAUUCCGUGCCAGCAGCCGCGGUAAUACGGAGGGUCCGAGCGUUAUCCGGAUUUAUUGGGUUUAAAGGGAGCGUAGAGGGGUUGUUAAGUGAGUUGUGAAAUGCUGCGGCUCAACCGUAUCAUUGCAGUUGAUACUGGCAGGCUUGAGUACAGUUGAGGUAGGCGGAAUUCGUGGUGUAGCGGUGAAAUGCUUAGAUAUCACGAAGAACUCCGAUUGCGAAGGCAGCUUACUACACUGCCACUGACAUUGAUGCUCGAAGGUGUGGGUAUCAAACAGGAUUAGAUACCCUUGUAGUC